UACAGAGGGUCCAAGCGCUAUCCGGAAUUAUUGGGCGUAAAGCGUCUGUAGGUGGUUUAAAAAGUCUACUGUCAAAUACCAAGGCUCAACCUUGGACAGGCAGUAGAGUACUUUUAAACUUGAGUGCGGUAGAGGUAGAGGGAAUCCCUAGCGUAACAGUGAAAUGUGUAGAUUUUAGGGAGAACACCAGCGGCGAAGGCGCUCUACUGGGCCGAGACUGCCACUGAGAGACGAAAGCUAAGGGAGCAAAUAGG
rnacentral:rRNA from 1 species